GCAGCGUGGGUAGCGGUACCCGAGAGAAACCCUCGCAGCAGCGGCGGCGGCGCAGGAGCACACGAGCGAGCGAGCUCAUCGGCGGCGGCGGCGGCGCGAAGGGAGAAGCGGAGGCGAGAUGCCGCGGCCGGAGGUGCAGGCGCCGCCGGAGAUAUUCUACAACGAGUCGGAGGCGCGCAAGUACACCACCUCGUCCCGCAUCAUCGAAAUCCAGGCGAGGAUUUCCGAGAGGGCGCUGGAGCUGCUCGCCCUCCCCAACGAUGGCGUCCCCAGGAUGCUCCUCGACAUCGGGUGCGGCUCUGGACUGAGCGGGGAGACGUUGACGGAACAUGGCCACCACUGGAUUGGCUGCGAUAUUUCAGAGUCCAUGCUUGACGUUGCUCUAGAGCGGGAAGCAGAGGGUGACCUCCUACUCGCAGACAUGGGCGAGGGCUUAGGCCUGCGCCCAGGAGUUAUUGAUGGUGCAAUCAGUAUCUCAGCAGUCCAGUGGUUGUGCAAUGCCGACAAGUCAUCUCAUGAACCAAGAUUGCGGUUAAAGGCUUUCUUUGGAUCACUAUAUAGAUGCCUAGCAAGGGGAGCAAGAGCCGUUCUACAAUUCUAUGCUGAUAAUGUGAAGCAAACUGAAAUGCUCGUGUCUUUUGCCAUGAAUGCUGGUUUUGCUGGUGGAGUGGUUAUUGACUGGCCUCAUAGUUCGAAAGCAAAGAAAUCCUACCUUGUCCUCACUUGUGGUUCACCUUCUGUUGCCACAUCUCUCCCAAAGGCGAAAGGUCAAGAUGGUGAGAUGUGCAGCAGUGAUGAUGAUGAGGACGCUGACGAUGAGAGCAAUGAUGACCGAACAGUAAGCUCGCUCUUAACAAGACAAUUUUCUGUUUUAUACAUUUUGAACUUAUUUACUGCUCUUAAUCCCUAUCCUUUGUCUGCUGCUUUAUUCCAUGGUGGGCCAUGGCGCGGCACGAGUAUGCAAGCAGGGCAGAGGCAGCGGCAGAACGAACAGAAGGCAGCUCGAUAAUCAGGGGAUAGCUGCAGGACGCUGAGGCUCGGCUGCGCGUGGAGACGGCCGCUGGCCUCGUAUCAAGACAAGGUUUGUGGGAGCCUGGUUUUGAGAAAGAGUAUGAAAAUAGGAUCUGGGUAAUGAAGAACUGGUCAGCAACCAGUACAAGGAUACGAUCUGUGACGAUUUCCAAUAUAUCGAGGUGCGCUUGCAGGACAUGCUCUCCUCGUAUGACAAUACCGUUUCGUUCAAUCUCCUUGCCUCCACAAUGGGAAGAUCAACCCAUCGACGACAAGGGACCUAAAGAAGAGUGUGAGUGGCUUGAGGGUUUCAGGUGGAGCACGAAACGCGAGGACGAAGGUAGGCUGGAGUACCACGCGAGGCAGCGGGUCCAGCUAAGCAGCAGACCGAACGCGGCACCAACAAACGCUACACCAUAACAUCUUUUCACAAAAAUAAAAAUUAGCCCGUUGAAACGCACAGUUUGGUAUUGUAUGUUCAAAGGCUGGAUCUGGGCAGGAGAAGAAACUUGACCGACUAAAACAAGAAGACUCAGACCUACACGAUUGUUGUGUCGUUAAAUACGUACCUGCGCUCCCUAACCUGAGGCCCCAUUGGUUCGGAUACGUGCGAAGCAUCCUCCCUGACAACGUCUCUACGUUCGACAUGAUGAUGAAGGGUCGUCAAUUGUGUAUCGAAGCCGCGAUGCGAAGUUCAUCUAAGAUUUGCUUCUUUUUAUGAAUAAAUUAUGGAUCAUUGUUGGAUUUUUAUUAACCAUUGUUUUUAGUCACA